UGAUUAUAAACUAGAGUUUCUGCCUCAGC
rnacentral:piRNA from 1 species